UUUGAUCUUAGCCAUUUUGACUGAUGUGU
rnacentral:piRNA from 1 species